GUCUACGGCCAUGCCACCCUGAACAAGCCCGAUCCCAUCCGAUCUCGGAAGCUAAGCAGGGUCGGGCCUGGCUAGUACUUGGAUGGGAGACCACCUAGGAAGACCAGGUGCUGUAGGCG
rnacentral:rRNA from 1 species